UGGGGGUUGGAUUUAGGCAGUAGAAUCGCCAAACCGGUCAGGACUGAAAAGUAGCAGCCGUAACGAAUUUUGCUGGGUUGAAUUCAAUCCCUAAAAA
rnacentral:SRP_RNA from 1 species